CAAUAAUUUACUGUAUCGCAUUAAACCUUCAAAAGACUGCUUAAAAAGAAAAAACAACUUGCCACUCAUCAACUGGCAGGGUAUGCUUUCUUGGAUAGGGGGCAGGGAUGUGCUGGGAGAUAAUGCUGAGCGUUCCAUAGAAUAUUGAGGCGAUAUGCUUCCAGAUACAAACUGACGUUCUGCCGGCUGCCUAGAAGAAAACACUGCAAAGAAUAUUUCUUUUUGGCUGUAAUAUUCUCUUGUUUGUUUGUGAAAGACAUAUGCAGACAUAAUGAAAGACCAAAGGACAGCGGUCAUAUGAAUUAUACCAUAAAGAGCUACACAAAGGCAUUGCAGCUUGUCCAGAGAGCAGAGGUAACAUCGAAAACGGACAGUAAUGAUGAACAGAGACAAAUACCUGUUAAGAAGCCAUAUCGGUACCACAGCUUAUCAAGCUCAAACUUCCAAAGUACGAGCUCAUACCCGAGGAAUGUCAACACUAUAAAGAAGAAUUAAUACAGCUCCGGUGUAACCGAUUUCCAGAGCCGAGUCCUACUCAAACUGGACACCAUUAUAGAAAACCAGGUGGAGCAGUUGCGCCUUCUGCAAACAUUUACGAACAGAAGUGCUGUAAAUGAGGACUUAGAUAAUGCCCUCCCCACUCCAAUCAACAUGACCAAUGAACUUGAAGAGCUUUGCCGAAGAAUCAGCACAGAUGUUAAGCUCAUAACGAUAAAAAUUGAAUGAAAAAAUGCAAGGAACAGCUAAGACAUUUGAGCAUUUCGUAACUGAACUCAAAUUGCUAGUAAAGGACUGCAACUAUCAAAGUAGUGAUGAGAUGGUCAGAGACUGCAUUGUGAUGGCCAUUAACUCAGAGGGUACGUGAAAAUGUUUUAAACCAAUGACCAGAGCUUACCUUAGAAAAAGCGAUAUACAUUGCAAGGUCUCACAAAUAGUGCAAGCGCAACUGAAGUCCAUGGGUAAUGGCAACACAUACAGUAAACAAUCUAACGAUAAGGAAGUGCAUGCAGUGGGGAAGAAAUACUCUAUUGAACGCAAAGCCAUUGCAAAGCCCCACUGAGAGUAAACAGCAACAGCAGCUCCACGCACUUCAAAACACAUAAAAUUUGCGGCUAUUGUGCAGGAAAGCACAUACACAUUGAAGAAUGCCCUGCAAAAGGUUGGUGUUAUGCUAAACACCAAAGUAUGCAGGUCUGACUCGAACAAAGCAGUUCAACGUAAAGAAGCAGACGAAAAUUAUGCCGAGUUUUUUAUUGAUACUGUUAAACAUGAAGCACACAAUUCCAGUUUGGAGCAGGCAUUUGCUAACAUUCUAAUAGGGCCAAAUGCAUUUAAUAUGCAAUUCAAGCUUGACACUGGAGCCCAAGUAAAAUGUUAUACCAGAGUGCAAAUACUGCAGCCCCUGUCCAGAAGGCCAGUUAGAAUGCACCAAGCAGCAUCUCACCAGUUACAGAGGAGAACAACUAACAGUUAAAGGCACAUGUCAGCUACAGUUCAAGCACACAAAUACAACACUAAUGCUGGAGUUCUACAUCGUGGACACCCAGACACCACCAGUAUUAGGGCUAAAAUCAUGCCUUGAUCUCAAGCUCAUUAAGUUAGUACUGUCUGUGGCUGCAACAAAAAAUGGAAAAAAUGCAAUAAUGGCCGAAUAUGCUGGUGUUUUUGAAGGAAUCAGACUAUUCCCAGGUGAAUACACAUUCCAUCUUGACCCGACAGUCACUCCUGUUGUGUGCCCUCCAAGAAGAGUUUCUGCAGUCACCUCAAGCAGGAGCUCGAAAACAUUGAAAAGUCAGGGAUCAUUGCCAAAGUUACUGAGCCCAUUGAUUGGGUUAAUGUUUUAGCUGUAGUUGAGAAACCCCGCACAGGAAAGCUUUGCAUUUGUCUUGACCCCUGUGACCUCAACAAGGCUAUCACCUGUUGCCAACUCCUAGAUGAUGUCACGCCAAAGCUUGCUGGUGCAUGUUAUUUCAGCAUGUUGGAUGCGAGAUCUGGAUAUUGGGCCAUCAAGCUAUCAGACCAGUCAUCACAACUGACCACCUUCAACACUGUCUGGCCGAUACCAAUUUCUCCGUCUGCCCUUUGGCAUCAUCUCAGGAUGUGUUCCAGCGCAAGAUAUAAAGGUCUCAAAAGUAACAGCCAUUGCUGAUGACAUCUUAGUGUUUGGACACUUAAAAGCAGAACAUCAUGAUGCAAACCUCUGCGCAGUGCUUGAAAGGUCAAGAGAGAAGGGUAUACGUCUCAACCCAGAAAAAAGUCAAAUAUACGUUACAGAAGUAAGCUAUUUUAGUCAUCGCCUCACAGUGGAUGGGAGCAAAAUAGAUCCAGCAAAGGUCACCGCCAUUAAGAAUAUGGACCCGCCGCGCAAUUGUGCAGAACUUGAAACUGUUCUCGUCAUGAUUAAUUACCUAGCCAGAUUUGCGGCUCACCUUUCAGAAAGUCAAUGCAGCACUCUGUCAAUUUUUCAAACAAACCAGUGAAUUCCUUUGGGAUAAACAGCACAGUAUUGCUUUUCAGAACAUGAAAGACCUAAUCACACAGGAAUCAGGUCCAGUGCUUGCUUACUUCAACCCCGAUAAAGAUGGACAUGUCUAAGAGUGGACUCGGGGUACUGCUACAGGAGGGUAAGCCAGUAGCUUUUGCUUCAAAAUCCUUCACAGUCACUGAAGAAAACUACGCACAAAUAGAGAAAGAGCUCUAUGCAAUCCUGUUUGGAUGCAAACUUUUUCACCAAUACAUUUAUGGUCGUCACUGUGACGCCACUGUGAAAUCAGACCACAAGCCUUUGGAAUCCAUAAGGAAGAAGCCACUCGCAACAGCGGCCUAAGCUACAAAGCAUGAUCCUUCAGUUGCAGAAAUAUGACAUUACCAUCAUACAUCGACCCAGGAAGGACAUACCAGUAGCAGACACAUUGUCAAGAAAGUCUACUAUCUACAGCAAAUCAUUUCUGACAACAGUCCCCAAUAUGCCUCAAAAGAAUUUGCCACCUUUGCAAAAAAGUGGGUCUUGCAGCACAUUACAGCAAGCGUGUUACCCGCAAAGCAAUGGUCUUGCAGAGCAGACAGUCCAAACAGCAAAUCACCUGCUGGACAGAGCGAAAGCAGACAGCAAUGACCCUUAUCAUAGUUUGCAGGAAUAUCGCACUACCCCACUUGACAAUUUCAAGUCACCCGCACAGCUGUUGAUGAGCCGUCGACUUUGCUCCAUACUACCUGCCACUGAUGAACAGCUCAGACCUGAAGUAGUCAAUUACAAGCAAAGACAACAACAGAAAAAACAAUACUAUGACAAGACAGUCAAACCACUUUCGACACUUGGUUCUCGUGCUUCAGUCUGUAUCCAACAGGACCAUGGCCUCUGGAAACCAGCAAUUGUCAUCAAACCAGCACACACAAACAGGUCAUACUAUGUCCGCACUAUAGAUGAACACAUUUAUCUGCAUAAUCGCCGCCACCUACUCAGCACAAAUGAAGAACACAAACAGCAGUGUGACAAGUCUGAUUGUGCAAGCAAUGUACCAAAACAUAUAGCAAAGGAACUAGAUGACACAACACCUGGACCAUUCCCAGCAGUCCUUGAUCUGUGACAUGUUAAAGGGGUAUAGGCGGAUCACUGCCCCUAUUCGAACACUUGUAAAUAUCGACUAAGGACAUUAGCAAAGAAAAGUUAAUUGCUGAAAAUAUAUAUGAGUUUAUUUCUCAAGUGUUACAUUGCUAAGUUUUUGAUAUGUAAGGCAUCACUGAAAAAUAAAAUGUAUGCAGACAAAUUUGAGUUUAAGCACUGAAGAAUGUUGUUUUUUA